GACGAACGCUGGCGGCGUGCCUAAUACAUGCAAGUCGAACGAACCGCGACUAGGUGCUUGCACUUGGUCAAGGUGAGUGGCGAACGGGUGAGUAACACGUGGGUAACCUACCUCAUAGUGGGGGAUAACAGUCGGAAACGACUGCUAAUACCGCAUAGGACAUAGGAUCACAUGAUCCAGUGAGGAAAGGUGGCGCAAGCUAUCGCUAAGAGAUGGACCCGCGGUGCAUUAGCUAGUUGGUAGGGUAAAGGCCUACCAAGGCGAUGAUGCAUAGCCGACCUGAGAGGGUGAUCGGCCACAUUGGGACUGAGACACGGCCCAAACUCCUACGGGAGGCAGCAGUAGGGAAUCUUCCGCAAUGGACGCAAGUCUGACGGAGCAACGCCGCGUGAGUGAAGAAGGUCUUCGGAUCGUAAAGCUCUGUUGUUAGAGAAGAACAGCGCAUAGAGUAACUGUUAUGCGUGUGACGGUAUCUAACCAGAAAGCCACGGCGAACUACGU
rnacentral:rRNA from 1 species